UCGAUUUAUUUAAUUAACUAUUCAUAACAAAUUAUAAAUUAUGAUAAUAUUGUACUGUAAAACACAUGUGCCUAAAAUAAGGUUGCGUAGAGAUAAUUUGAGGUUAGGAGCUAAAAUAGAGGGAAAUAAACUUUUAUAGUAAGAAGUUAUGAAAGUUGAGACGUAGAAAUAUUGGAAAAGUUUUAUUAGGUGCAAAAUGUGAUUUGUUUCUUAUGGACAUAUAAAGUGAAAAUGUGAUUUGUUCGAUUACUGGUGUAUUUUACCAAAUAGAUUCUGUUUACAGAAACCAAAAGCACGAAACAAACGUCCUUCAACAUCAACAAAUGAUUUUCUGGGCAGUCCGCUUCAAAAAUAAAAAAAAAAAAGAAAGAUGUUGACACAGAAUCUUCAAAUCCAAUCCAGCAAAAUGAUACUCAAGAUGUUCUAUUAGAUAACAGUUUAACUCCUGAAUCCAUUAAGUCACCGUCAAGUAACGGAGAACACACCAAUAAAUCCGUAACUCAUGCAGAAAGUCAAACUUGCAUGGAAGUUGAAAGCAUUUUUGUAAAAAAAUUACAGAAAGAAAUUGAAAAAGUUACGAAAAAACUAAAUACAUCUACAUCUGUGAUAUACUCAUGUAUGAUACCGUAACAAAAUGAACGGGGAAUCUGUUUCGACGGAAAGGUUUGCCAAUUAUCAUUAGGAUAGAAAUUUGUAUGAAUGGGUAAUGUUGUAGAAGAAUUUGUCACUGUUGAUCCAGAUGUAGAUGCUGAUGUAACUGUUAAAGAUGCUUGCAAGCGUUGUUUUUUCUUGACUAGCCAUAUUCCUUUAUCAAUACCUUCAAAAAUAACUCCUUCUCUUCCAUUAUUUAUACAGUCGUUGACCCUAUUGUAUACCAACAAAAGAUUACUAAAAUAUUAAAUACUAACUAACUGAUAAGUUUAUCACUGAGAGUCAUCAUCUGCAUAUGUGUGCGAAAUUAUUUUUAAAAUUAAUUAAAUGAAUAAUAAAU